rnacentral:rRNA from 1 species
UACGUAGGGGGCAAGCGUUGUCCGGAUUCAUUGGGCGUAAAGAGCGUGUAGGCGGCCAGGUAGGUCGGUUGUGAAAACUGGAGGCUCAACCUUCAGAGGUCGACCGAAACCAUCUGGCUAGAGUCCGGGAGAGGAGAGUGGAAUUCCUGGUGUAGCGGUGAAAUGCGUGGAGAUCAGGAAGAACACCGGUGGCGAAAGCGCUCUGCUAGGCCGUAACUGACACUGAGGGACGAAAGCUAGGGGAGCGAAUGGG